rnacentral:rRNA from 1 species
CUUUAUACCUAACUAUUAUCUGAACCCUGUAAGCUAGGCUUUAGGUUGGGGUGACCGCGGAGUAAAACAAAACCUCCGCAAUGAACGAAACUACCGUCUUAUCUAAGAAUAAUCCCUCUAAGAAUUAGCACUCUAACAUAAAUGAUCCAAUUAUUGAUCAACGGACCAAGUUACCCUGGGGAUAACAGCGCAAUCCACUUCAAGAGCUCCUAUCGACAGGUGGGUUUACGACCUCGAUGUUGGAUCAGGGUAUCCCAGUGGUGUAGCAGCUACUAAUGGCUCGUUUGUUCAACGAUUAAAACCCU